rnacentral:rRNA from 1 species
CGUAGGGUGCGAGCGCUAAUCGGAAUUACUGGGCGUAAAGCGUGCGCAGGCGGUUUAGUAAGACAGGCGUGAAAUCCCCGGGCUCAACCUGGGAACUGCGCUUGUGACUGCUAAGCUAGAGUACGGCAGAGGGGGUGGGAUUCCACGUGUAGCAGUGAAAUGCGUAGAGAUGUGGAGGAACACCAAGGGCGAAGGCAGCCCCCUGGGUCGAUACUGACGCUCAUGCACGAAAGCGUGGGUAGCAAACAGGAUUAGAUACCCUGGUAGUCCACGCCCUAAACGAUGUCAACUAGGUGUUGGGAGGGUAAAACCUUUUAGUACCGGAGCUAACGCGUGAAGUUGACCGCCUGGGGAGUACGGCCGCAAGGUUA